CCCUUAGAUGUUCUGGGCCGCACGCGCGCUACACUGAUGCAUUCAACGAGUCCAACCUUGACCGAGAGGCCCGGGUAAUCUUUGAAACUGCAUCGUGAUGGGGCUAGAUUAUUGCAAUUAUUAAUCUUCAACGAGGAAUGCCUAGUAAGCGUGAUUCAUCAAAUCGCGUUGAUUACGUCCCUGCCCUUUGUACACACCGCCCGUCGCUCCUACCGAUUGAGUGUGUUGGUGAGGAGUUUGGAUUGGCCUCGGAAGGUGGUUCGCCACCGUCCGUAGCUGAGAAGUUCUCCAAACCGCCCCACUUAGAGGAAGGAGAAGUCGUAACA
rnacentral:rRNA from 1 species